GCCGCGCCUAGGACGGCCAUCCGAAAGCCGGGCACCUUCCCCGGCUGGUGCGGCACCUUUUGAAGGG
rnacentral:sRNA from 1 species